UAGGGAAUCUUCCGCAAUCGGCGAAAGCUUGACGGAGCAACGCCGCGUGAGUGAUGAAUGUCUUCGGAUCGUAAAACUCUGUUAUUAGGGAAGAACAAAUGUGUAAUUAACUAUGCACGUCUUGACGGUACCUAAUCAGAAAGCCACGGCUAACUACGUGCCAGCAGCCGCGGUAAUACGUCGGUGGCAAGUGUUAUCCGGAAUUAUUGGGCGUAAAGCGCGCGUAGGCGGUUUUUUAAGUCUGAUGGGAAAGCCCACGGCUCAACCGUGGAGGGUCAUUGGAAACUGGAAAACUUGAGUGCAGAAGAGGAAAGUGGAAUUCCAUGUGUAGCGGUGAAAUGCGCAGAGAUAUGGAGGAACACCAGUGGCGAAGGCGACUUUCUGGUCUGUAACUGACGCUGAUGUGCGAAAGCGUGGGGAUCAAACAGG
rnacentral:rRNA from 1 species